rnacentral:rRNA from 1 species
GUCAUAGUGAUCCGGUGGUUCUGAAUGGAAGGGCCAUCGCUCAACGGAUAAAAGGUACUCCGGGGAUAACAGGCUGAUACCGCCCAAGAGUUCAUAUCGACGGCGGUGUUUGGCACCUCGAUGUCGGCUCAUCACAUCCUGGGGCUGAAGUAGGUCCCAAGGGUAUGGCUGUUCGCCAUUUAAAGUGGUACGCGAGCUGGGUUUAGAACGUCGUGAGACAGUUCGGUCCCUAUCUGCCGUGGGCGCUGGAGAACUGAGGGGGGCUGCUCCUAGUACGAGAGGACCGGAGUGGACGCAUCACUGGUGUUCGGGUUGUCAUGCCAAUGGCACUGCCCGGUAGCUAAAUGCGGAAGAGAUAAGUGCUGAAAGCAUCUAAGCACGAAACUUGCCCCGAGAUGAGUUCUCCCUGACCCUUUAAGGGUCCUGAAGGAACGUUG